rnacentral:rRNA from 1 species
GACGAACGCUGGCGGCGUGCUUAACACAUGCAAGUGGAGCGACGAACCGGGGCUUGCCCCGGGGCAGAGCCGCGAACGGGUGAGUAACACGUGGGUAACCCACCCCGAUGACCGGGACAACCCGAGGAAACUCGGGCUAAUACCGGAUGUGCUCCUUGACCAUGAGGUCAAGGCGUAAAGAUAGCUUCGGCCUUCGCAUCGGGACGGGCCCGCGGCCCAUUAGCUUGUUGGUGGGGUAAAGGCCUACCAAGGCGACGAUGGGUAGCUGGUCUGAGAGGACGAGCAGCCACACUGGGACUGAGACACGGCCCAGACUCCUACGGGAGGCAGCAGUGGGGAAUCUUGCGCAAUGCGCGAAAGCGUGACGCAGCAACGCCGCGUGGGGGAAGAAGGCCUUCGGGUUGUAAACCCCUUUCAGUUGGGACGAAGCUUCGCCGGUGAAUAGCCGGCUGGAGUGACGGUACCUUCACAAGAAGCCCCGGCUAACUACGUGCCAGCCGCCGCCGUAAUAC